rnacentral:rRNA from 1 species
UACGAAGGGGGCUAGCGUUGCUCGGAAUCACUGGGCGUAAAGGGCGCGUAGGCGGCCAUUCAAGUCGGGGGUGAAAGCCUGUGGCUCAACCACAGAAUUGCCUUCGAUACUGUUUGGCUUGAGACCGGAAGAGGUAAGUGGAACUGCGAGUGUAGAGGUGAAAUUCGUAGAUAUUCGCAAGAACACCGGUGGCGAAGGCGGCUAUCUGGACCGACAUUGACGCUGAGGCGCGAAAGCGUGGGGAGCAAACAGG